GAGGCAGGAGAAUGGCGUGAACCCGGGAGGCGGAGCUUGCAGUGAGCCGAGAUUGCGCCAUUUACUCCAGCCUGGGUGACAGAGCCAGACUCCAUCUCAAAGAAAAAAAAAAAAAAAAGAACUUUGGACUCAGAUGGAGUCCAAGAGGAAUAAGAGGGCUCAAAGGAGGGUAUCAGAAGCCUAGAGGGGAGGGGGAACUACAUUCUAGGCUAGGUGACACAGCAAGACCUUGUCUCAAAAGAAAAAAAAAAAAAAAAGAAAAAGAGAAGAAAAGAAAGAAAAGAGAGAAAAGACCAAUCUACCUUGUUCUCCCUCUCACUUUUGCUACACUUUCUGUUUAAAAUCGAACAAAACCAAAUAUUUUAGUUGAAAAAGGCAACAGAAUCUUGGUUACAACACAUACCAUGAGUCUUCUCUUGGUCAUGUAAUUACUUGUUUGACAUCUUAUUUGCCACAGUCACAGGGGCUAAGUAUUUUUGUCUACGCCAGCUCCUCUUCACUAUCACCUUCAACCUGACAAAGCAGUAAUUAAACAUUCAUUCAACAUUUAUUUAGCACCUGCACUGAUCUAGGGACACAAUACAAAAGAAAAUCACCCUGUGGCACAGUUCACAGUCUAGAGAUAAUAAAAUGAGUCAAGUUUAAAAUAAUGCAGUAUGUGCUUUAAUAAAGUAUGAAGUGUUACACAACUGGAGAAGAGGGAACCUUUAAUGUUAUCUGUGGAGGAUCUGAGAAGGCAGCACAGAGGAUGUAACACCAGAAGUCAACCUUGAAUAUUGAAAUGGCUAUUUAGCAGACAGAUUGGGGAAAAGGAAGGAGAAACUAUAAAAGCAAACCUGAACAAAAAGAGUAUUUUCAUCUCAGUUUUUUAGGUAACUCAGUUACUCAGAACACAGAAGUUACAAGCAGUAACAUGAGAUGAAACUACUAAAGG
rnacentral:lncRNA from 1 species